rnacentral:lncRNA from 1 species
AAAGGCACUACUAUAAAAAAAAAAAAAAAAAAAAAAAAUUGCAAAAUUUAUUUCAAAUUAGCUAAAAAAAAAAAAAAAAAAAAAAAAAAAAAAAAAAAACAUUCCAGAAUUUAUCCCCAAUGAGUUUAAUAAAAAAAAAAAAAAAUUUGCUUUAUAUAUUUACGACAUACUUUUUUUUUAAUUUCAAUACAUCCAUUUUGAAAGGAAAAAAAAUAAAAUAAAUAAAAUUGUACAGAAACAAAAUCAGCAAUUUUCAUAUUAGUAAUUACCAACAAAUGCAGAAACGUAAUAAAUAAAAACGUAAUAAAUAAAAACGUAAUAAAUAAAAACGUAAUAAAUAAAAACAAACGAAAAUUUAUUACAUAACAAUUCGGGUAAUUCUUCUGUUAUUACAAUCAUGGAUGAAGUAUAUACAACAGAAAAUGAAGGUUGUCAAUGUUUUGGUGAAAAAAUAGAUAGCAUUAAAAAUCAAAAAUUACCAAACGAAGCUAACGAAGCUAACGAAGCUAACGAAGCUAACGAAGCUAACGAAGCUAAUGAAGCUAACGAAGCUAACAUGUGGGAGGAAGUAAUAACAGAAAAUAUAAAUCAUGACAUAUCUUAUGAUAAUGAAAAAAAAGGCGAAAGUACCAAUAAAAUAAAAACAUUGGGAAAAGAAAAUAACAUUAUACCUAUAAAUAUAGAUAAACAAAGUACAGACAAUUUAAAUGAGUAUUAUAUUACAAGUUCUGAUAGUGUUAGUAGCGAAAAAAACAAUUUAUCAGAUCAAAAUAAAUGUAUGAGUUUUGAUGUAGAAAGUGAUGAUGACUCUGUUAUAUCAUCAGACUCAAAUAAGUCAGGAAAGUAUAAAAAUAUUGACCCGGACCUUUUAUAUUCAUUAUGUGAAAAGGAAGAUGUUACUUGUAUACAAAAUAAAGACAAUGGUCCAUCAAUUGAUAUAAUACCAGAAGUUAGUAAUAAAAAUACAUAUUAUAAUAAAUAUUUAGAUAAUAAUUAUAUGGGUUCAAUAAUUGUGGAUGGUAAAAGUGAAGUAAAUGAAUUUUUAUUUGUUUCAACUAUGGCAUAUCAUGAUAUAACUAAUCAAAAAAAAGAAACGGUAGUAACUAAUAGUAAUGAAAAUAAAAUGUUACAUUUUUUUAAUAAAAAAGAAAAAAAUGAAAAUAUAGUAGAUAUUAAUGACUCAUCAAGUACAGAUGAUUCUUAUACUGACUCUGAUGAAGUUGCAUCUUCCACUGGCGUGGACAAUAUAGAAUUUAUAAAUAAAAUAAAUGAUUUAAAUGAAGUUAACAAAUUCAAUGAACAAAAUAAAUCAAACUGCAAAGGAAACACAACUAAUAAGUUAAAAUCCAAUGUGAAUGCGAAAAGUUUGAACGACGACAUGCUCAUAGAAAAAACGGAAGAUAUAACAAACAGUUCAAAAGGAAACACAGGAGGGACGGAAAAUGAAACAAUAUGUGAGAUAAACGGGAUAGAAAGUAAUAAUUCGAAUUUACUAAUAAAUAAAGAUACUGAUGAUAAAACUAGUAGCAAUAACAGUACCAACAAUAGCAAUAGCAAUAGCAAUAGCAAUAGCAAUAAUAACUCCAAACAGAAUAAUCGAAUAAAGUUAAUGGCUAUUCCAGAAACAGUAAAGGACGUUAUAGAAAUAAUAAACAUAGGAAAACUAAUUAAUAUAAAUGAUGAUACUGUAAUAAUACAAGCUACUCCUUGUAGUAAAUAUUACAUAAGUGCAACUUCUAUUUUAUGUUUGAAGAAUCGUAAAAUUUUUGGCUAUGUUAUUAACACCACUUCAAAUACAACCGAUGUAUUUUAUCAUGCCAAGAUUUCUUUUAAUAAUAUGAAAAGUGAAUUAAAAGAAAAUAUGGACAUAUAUGUUGAUUCCAAACAUUAUAUAUAUAUGAAUGUAGGUGCAAGUGUUUGCUCUGAAUUAUUUAACGUACUAAACAAUCCAGAGGUACCAUAUAUUUUUAUUAAUUAUGAUGACUUAUAUGGUAUUGCUGAUCUACAAUUAUCACGAGAAAGUAACGAAGAUGACUUAUUAAAUAAAGAAAAUGAUAAUAUUAGCAUAAUGAGUUAUGUGAAAACAAAUAAAACAAACAAAACAAACAAAACAAAUAAAACACAUAAAACACAUAAAACAAAUAAAACAAAUAAAUUAUUUCAUAAUCCGACAUCAUUGUCAUUGGCACCGACAUCAACACAUUAUGGAACAUAUACAAAUAUGCAACCGGUUUAUACUAAUAAAAAAUAUUAUUCACCGAAUACUAAUACUAAUACUACUACUACUAUUACUACUACAAUGAAUAAACCAUAUAAUACAAAAUAUAAAAAACCGUAUAACUACACAUGUUAUUACAAAAACAAAAUAGGUGGGAAAUUUACUAAUAAGACGCUUUCAAACAAAAAAAAAAAUCUUACAAUUUUUAAUAAUUUAUCUUAUGUAAAAAAUGAUAAAAAAAGCGAUAAAAACAUAAAUUUUAACAAGAGUCCUAUUAAUAAUAUACCUCAUGCUAGCACAGCCCAAAUGAGUAAAAUAUUAUAUAAUCAUACAAGUACUACCCAUAUUAAAAAAAAUAAAUUAGAUAUUACAAACAAAACCAACAGAACAAAUAAUACUACUGUUUAUCAUGGUAAUAUAAAUAUAACAUCUAUGCAUAAACAAUUUAAUUCUAUUCCAUAUAAUGUUAAUAAUAACAUAAGUACUAGCCCAUAUUCAACUUUUUUUAACAAAUCAAAUGGCAGCACAAUGAAUUAUACACCUAACAUUGAAAUAAAUGACACAACUUUGACUAAUCAUAAUACUUAUAACAUGUGCAACAUGCAGUUAAAUAACUACUCGAAUAUCAUAAAUAAUAAUAAUAAUAAUAAUAUACCAACCGCUUUAAAAAAUAUAACUUCAUCUACUUUAAAUCAUAAUAAUAUAAAUGAUACUACGGCUGGUAAAAUUUUGGUAAAUAAUGAGCAAAUUGCAUACAAUAUAAGAACCGAUACAAAUUUAAAUAACCAAAACAGCAACCCCUGUUUUUUUCUACCACCACAUAAUAUACCUAAUAAUACACAAAACGCACCACUAUAUUUUAACAGUAUGCCAUAUAGUAAUAAUAACUAUUGGUCUCUAAAUCAUAAUACAAACAUGUAUAAUAAUAAUUAUUUUUAUAAUAACAAUUUUAACGCAAAUCAAUAAUUAUGAAUGCAUAAGAGGACUUUAAUUUACCGGCAGUAAUAUAAAUAUAUAAAUGUAUAUAUAUAUAUAUAUAUAUUUUCAUUUUUAACUUAAUAACCCUUUUUUGAUGUUGUUUUGUGUGCAUAUAUUUGCUAAGAUUAUAAUAAAAAUAAAUGCGUUUUUUUUUCUUUUUCA